CUCCUACGGGAGGCAGCAGUGGAGAAUCUUGCACAAUGGAGGCAACUCUGAUGCAGCGACGCCGCGUGAGCGAUGAAGCCCUUCGGGGUGUAAAGCUCUUUCGGCAGGGACGAUAAUGACGGUACCUGAAGAAGAAGCUGCGGCUAACUACGUGCCAGCAGCCGCGGUAAUACGUAGGCAGCGAGCGUUGUUCGGAAUUACUGGGCGUAAAGAGUGUGUAGGCGGUGCUCUAAGUUCGGUGUGAAAUCUCCCGGCUUAACUGGGAGGGUGCGCCGGAAACUGGAGUGCUCGAGCGUGGGAGAGGAAAGCGGAAUUCCUGGUGUAGCGGUGAAAUGCGUAGAUAUCAGGAGGAACACCGGUGGUGUAGACGGCUUUCUGGACCGUAACUGACGCUGAGACACGAAAGCGUGGGUAGCAAACAGGAUUAGAUACCCUGGUAGUCCACGCCCUAAACGAUGCAUAUUUGGUGUGGGCAGUUCAUUCUGUCCGUGCCGGAGCUAACGCGUUAAAUAUGCCGCCUGGGGAGUACAGUCGCAAGGCUGAAACUCAAAGGAAUUGACGG
rnacentral:rRNA from 1 species